CCUACGGGCGGCUGCAGUGGGGAAUAUUGGACAAUGGGCGCAAGCCUGAUCCAGCAAUGCCGCGUGUGUGAAGAAGGCCUGCGGGUUGUAAAGCACUUUUGUUCGGGAAGAAAUCAUGCUGGUUAAUACCUGGUAUGGAUGACGGUACCGAAAGAAUAAGCACCGGCUAACUUCGUGCCAGCAGCCGCGGUAAUACGAAGGGUGCAAGCGUUAAUCGGAAUUACUGGGCGUAAAGGGUGCGUAGGCGGCCUUUUAAGUCGGAUGUGAAAUCCCCGGGCUCAACCUGGGAAUGGCAUUCGAUACUGGGAGGCUAGAGUUUGGGAGAGGGUGGUGGAAUUCCCGGUGUAGCGGUGAAAUGCGUAGAGAUCGGGAGGAACAUCAGUGGCGAAGGCGGCCACCUGGCCUAAAACUGACGCUGAGGCACGAAAGCGUGGGGAGCAAACAGGAUUAGAUACCCCAGUAGUC
rnacentral:rRNA from 1 species